UACGUAGGGGGCAAGCGUUGUCCGGAAUGAUUGGGCGUAAAGGGCGCGUAGGCGGCCUGGUAAGUCUGGAGUGAAAGUCCUGCUUUUAAGGUAGGAAUUGCUUUGGAUACUGCUGGGCUUGAGUGCAGGAGAGGUAAGUGGAAUUCCCGGUGUAGCGGUGAAAUGCGUAGAGAUCGGGAGGAACACCAGUGGCGAAGGCGACUUACUGGACUGUAACUGACGCUGAGGCGCGAAAGUGUGGGGAGCAAACAGGAUUAGAUACCCUGGUAGUCCACACUGUAAACGAUGAAUGCUAGGUGUAGGGGGUAUCGACCCCUUCUGUGCCGGAGUAAACACAAUAAGCAUUCCGCCUGGGGAGUACGGCCGCAAGGUUG
rnacentral:rRNA from 1 species